GGUUAAGCGACUAAGCGUACACGGUGGAUGCCCUGGCAGUCAGAGGCGAUGAAGGACGUGCUAAUCUGCGAUAAGCGUCGGUAAGGUGAUAUGAACCGUUAUAACCGGCGAUUUCCGAAUGGGGAAACCCAGUGUGAUUCGUCACACUAUCAUUAACUGAAUCCAUAGGUUAAUGAGGCGAACCGGGGGAACUGAAACAUCUAAGUACCCCGAGGAAAAGAAAUCAACCGAGAUUCCCCCAGUAGCGGCGAGCGAACGGGGAGGAGCCCAGAGCCUGAAUCAGUGUGUGUGUUAGUGGAAGCGUCUGGAAAGGCGCGCGAUACAGGGUGACAGCCCCGUACACAAAAAUGCACAUACUGUGAGCUCGAUGAGUAGGGCGGGACACGUGGUAUCCUGUCUGAAUAUGGGGGGACCAUCCUCCAAGGCUAAAUACUCCUGACUGACCGAUAGUGAACCAGUACCGUGAGGGAAAGGCGAAAAGAACCCCGGCGAGGGGAGUGAAAAAGAACCUGAAACCGUGUACGUACAAGCAGUGGGAGCCUCUUAAUGGGGUGACUGCGUACCUUUUGUAUAAUGGGUCAGCGACUUAUAUUCUGUAGCAAGGUUAACCGAAUAGGGGAGCCGAAGGGAAACCGAGUCUUAACUGGGCGUUAAGUUGCAGGGUAUAGACCCGAAACCCGGUGAUCUAGCCAUGGGCAGGUUGAAGGUUGGGUAACACUAACUGGAGGACCGAACCGACUAAUGUUGAAAAAUUAGCGGAUGACUUGUGGCUGGGGGUGAAAGGCCAAUCAAACCGGGAGAUAGCUGGUUCUCCCCGAAAGCUAUUUAGGUAGCGCCUCGUGAAUUCAUCUCCGGGGGUAGAGCACUGUUUCGGCAAGGGGGUCAUCCCGACUUACCAACCCGAUGCAAACUGCGAAUACCGGAGAAUGUUAUCACGGGAGACACACGGCGGGUGCUAACGUCCGUCGUGAAGAGGGAAACAACCCAGACCGCCAGCUAAGGUCCCAAAGUCAUGGUUAAGUGGGAAACGAUGUGGGAAGGCCCAGACAGCCAGGAUGUUGGCUUAGAAGCAGCCAUCAUUUAAAGAAAGCGUAAUAGCUCACUGGUCGAGUCGGCCUGCGCGGAAGAUGUAACGGGGCUAAACCAUGCACCGAAGCUGCGGCAGCGACACUGUGUGUUGUUGGGUAGGGGAGCGUUCUGUAAGCCUGUGAAGGUGUGCUGUGAGGCAUGCUGGAGGUAUCAGAAGUGCGAAUGCUGACAUAAGUAACGAUAAAGCGGGUGAAAAGCCCGCUCGCCGGAAGACCAAGGGUUCCUGUCCAACGUUAAUCGGGGCAGGGUGAGUCGACCCCUAAGGCGAGGCCGAAAGGCGUAGUCGAUGGGAAACAGGUUAAUAUUCCUGUACUUGGUGUUACUGCGAAGGGGGGACGGAGAAGGCUAUGUUGGCCGGGCGACGGUUGUCCCGGUUUAAGCGUGUAGGCUGGUUUUCCAGGCAAAUCCGGAAAACUAAGGCUGAGGCGUGAUGACGAGGCACUACGGUGCUGAAGCAACAAAUGCCCUGCUUCCAGGAAAAGCCUCUAAGCAUCAGGUAACAUCAAAUCGUACCCCAAACCGACACAGGUGGUCAGGUAGAGAAUACCAAGGCGCUUGAGAGAACUCGGGUGAAGGAACUAGGCAAAAUGGUGCCGUAACUUCGGGAGAAGGCACGCUGAUAUGUAGGUGAAGUCCCUCGCGGAUGGAGCUGAAAUCAGUCGAAGAUACCAGCUGGCUGCAACUGUUUAUUAAAAACACAGCACUGUGCAAACACGAAAGUGGACGUAUACGGUGUGACGCCUGCCCGGUGCCGGAAGGUUAAUUGAUGGGGUUAGCGGUAACGCGAAGCUCUUGAUCGAAGCCCCGGUAAACGGCGGCCGUAACUAUAACGGUCCUAAGGUAGCGAAAUUCCUUGUCGGGUAAGUUCCGACCUGCACGAAUGGCGUAAUGAUGGCCAGGCUGUCUCCACCCGAGACUCAGUGAAAUUGAACUCGCUGUGAAGAUGCAGUGUACCCGCGGCAAGACGGAAAGACCCCGUGAACCUUUACUAUAGCUUGACACUGAACAUUGAGCCUUGAUGUGUAGGAUAGGUGGGAGGCUUUGAAGUGUGGACGCCAGUCUGCAUGGAGCCGGCCUUGAAAUACCACCCUUUAAUGUUUGAUGUUCUAACGUUGGCCCCUGAUCGGGGUUGCGGACAGUGUCUGGUGGGUAGUUUGACUGGGGCGGUCUCCUCCUAAAGAGUAACGGAGGAGCACGAAGGUUGGCUAAUCCUGGUCGGACAUCAGGAGGUUAGUGCAAUGGCAUAAGCCAGCUUGACUGCGAGCGUGACGGCGCGAGCAGGUGCGAAAGCAGGUCAUAGUGAUCCGGUGGUUCUGAAUGGAAGGGCCAUCGCUCAACGGAUAAAAGGUACUCCGGGGAUAACAGGCUGAUACCGCCCAAGAGUUCAUAUCGACGGCGGUGUUUGGCACCUCGAUGUCGGCUCAUCACAUCCUGGGGCUGAAGUAGGUCCCAAGGGUAUGGCUGUUCGCCAUUUAAAGUGGUACGCGAGCUGGGUUUAGAACGUCGUGAGACAGUUCGGUCCCUAUCUGCCGUGGGCGCUGGAGAACUGAGGGGGGCUGCUCCUAGUACGAGAGGACCGGAGUGGACGCAUCACUGGUGUUCGGGUUGUCAUGCCAAUGGCACUGCCCGGUAGCUAAAUGCGGAAGAGAUAAGUGCUGAAAGCAUCUAAGCACGAAACUUGCCCCGAGAUGAGUUCUCCCUGACUCCUUGAGAGUCCUGAAGGAACGUUGAAGACGACGACGUUGAUAGGCCGGGUGUGUAAGCGCAGCGAUGCGUUGAGCUAACCGGUACUAAUGAACCGUGAGGCUUAACCUU
rnacentral:rRNA from 1 species